UACGUAGGGGGCUAGCGUUGUCCGGAAUCAUUGGGCGUAAAGAGCGCGUAGGCGGCCAGAUAAGUCCGGUGUGAAAGUCACAGGCUCAACCUGUGAAUGCCGCUGGAAACUGUCUGGCUAGAGUCCGGGAGGGGCGAGUGGAAUUCCUGGUGUAGCGGUGAAAUGCGCAGAUAUCAGGAAGAACACCAAUGGCGAAGGCAGCUCUCUGGGACGGUACUGACGCUGAGACGCGAAAGCGUGGGGAGCGAACAGG
rnacentral:rRNA from 1 species